GAUGCUUCCUUCGAUCAUCCUUGUUAGAUCUUUUCCUCCUCAGGAUCUCAUCUUCGGAGUCAGAGUCAACAGGCUGAUGCUUCCUUCGAUUAUGCCUUGUAGAUCUUCUCCUUGACACAGUUUGAUAUUCAGACUUGGAUUUAAUAUGUUGAUGCUUCCUUUGAUCACGCUUUUUGGAUAUCUUCAUGGUCACCUUUUCAUCUUCAGACUUAGAUUUAAUAGGUUGAUGCUUCCUUGUAUCAUGCUUUUCGGGUAUCGUCACUCUCACAAUUUCAUCUUCAGAUUCAGAUGUAAUGGGUUGAAAUUCAGUCCGAAUUGCCUGUGCCAAUAAAAAUUCUAAAACUGUUAGACAAUCAUGAAAAGAAGAUGUAAAAUAACCGUAGAGAAAUAUUUUCGAAUGCCUUUGCUGUUUUCAUUUUGAUUCCAAUAUCUUAUGCUUUUAGGACUUUAGGUUAAUGUACAUCAGGAGAGCAGUGCCUUCAGUGCAACAAGAACAUUUCUACCCAGCUGAUACCUCAGAAUAUACACCAAAUCCUUUGGCUAUACGUAAUCUGGGAUCCCCAGAAUCAAUAGAAGUAAAGCUACCGAAAGGCAGCAGCACAUAUCCAUACAAGAGAUGUAAAAUUAACCUGGGUCUGACCAAGGACUGUCAGAUGACAUAUUAGACUCAUAUGUUGCAGAGUCAUAAUACAGAUACUCUCACAUACUCCAAUGCGGUGAUCCAGAUAUAGCAAUACCCAUACUCUUACAGUUAGCUAUUAAUUAAUUUUUUUUAUAACUUGACAAGGGAAAUAAAACGGAACCACAGAGACACUAGACAAGUUGAAAUACUGCAGGAAGAAGACAGUUUCCACUUUCCAUGCUUUUAUUUGAAGUUUUAUUGGAAGAAGAUGAGG
rnacentral:lncRNA from 1 species